rnacentral:rRNA from 1 species
CUGGAACGGUGGCUAAUACCGGAUGUGCCGCAAGGUAAAAGGCUUGCUGCCUGAAGAUGAGCUCGCGUCUGAUUAGCUAGUAGGUGGGGUAAGAGCCUACCUAGGCGACGAUCAGUAGCUGGUCUGAGAGGACGAUCAGCCACACUGGGACUGAGACACGGCCCAGACUCCUACGGGAGGCAGCAGUGGGGAAUUUUCUGCAAUG